GGUAAGUGAAACAGAAAGCGUCCGAGGGUUUUAACUUCGCUGGAGACUCGCUGCUUGUUGUUCGCCCCGUCCGCGUCUCCAGUAAUGUCGUGAAAGUGUCUCACAUCUGAAGCUCAACGUUGUAAAAGUGAACUGAUCCUCUAGAGAUUUGAAAUGAAUGUCGCUGAUUGCAGUACCAUUUACAGUAAUGGAAUGAAGACAGAAACUACCUACCACGGCUUGAAGAACCAAGGAUCAACAUGUUACUUGAACAGUGUGCUGCAGGUGCUGUUCAUGACCAAAGACUUCAGAGAAGCAGUGAAAAGGUACAGAGAAGAAAACACAGAGUGUAUUGACCAUGACCUCAAUGACUUAUUUAAGAACUUACAAGAACGUACAACAGACACAUCUGAAAUAAGAAAGAAGCUGGGCAUUGCCAAAG